rnacentral:rRNA from 1 species
CUACGGGAGGCAGCAGUGGGGAAUAUUGGACAAUGGGCGCAAGCCUGAUCCAGCAAUGCCGCGUGUGUGAAGAAGGCCUGCGGGUUGUAAAGCACUUUCAGUGGGGAAGAAAAGCGGGUGGCUAAUAUCCACCGGACUUGACGUUACCCACAGAAGAAGCACCGGCUAACUCCGUGCCAGCUGCCGCGGUAAUACGGAGGGUGCAAGCGUUAAUCGGAAUUACUGGGCGUAAAGCGCGCGUAGGCGGUUGGUUAAGUCAGAUGUGAAAGCCCUGGGCUCAACCUAGGAAUUGCAUUUGAUACUGGCUAACUAGAGUACGAUAGAGGGGGGUAGAAUUCCAGGUGUAGCGGUGAAAUGCGUAGAUAUCUGGAGGAAUACCAGUGGCGAAGGCGGCCCCCUGGAUCGAUACUGACGCUGAGGUGCGAAAGCGUGGGGAGCAAACAGGAUUAGAUACCCGCGUAGUC